GAGCAAGUUUCAUGGAAACGCCACAUCGUAACGAGCGCAACCCUGGAAUAAUCGAGCGACUUUGUUUCAUUUGGAAAGCACGAGAAAGCUUCUUUUUCACUGAGCGGUGCGUAACGAUGAUCGAAUCACGUGGAUGAAUCGGUGAUAUCGAAGUUUGUGAGCUUUAGGGAGAAGUUCGUAAGUUUAAAGUUAGAUGAGUUAAAGACUUUUGGGAUGGAUAUCCGGGGAACAAGGGUUUGGCCUUUUCCUAUAGAAGGUGAGAAAUCCAACUGGGACACUCUACGUGGAAUCCAAUCUCGCCUCAAAGAGGCUCGUCUGUGCUCCAUGGCGUAUUCUCCAGAAAGUUCUGUGACUCGCAGCUUCAAUUAUCGAGUUCUCAAUCAAUUAAGCGAGUGACGAGAUAAUAAAUUAGUCGGAACAAUCGAGUAUCGUGAUCGAAAUGAUAUUCGAAUGCGACGAGGAAAGAAAGACGAUCGUUCUGCAAAUUAAGGACGAGACGACCAUAGUUGUGUAUAUUUAACUGUCCACGUGAUGACACCUAAGUCCAUGUCUUCCUCAGAUGUUAAUAACAAUCUAAUACAAAUACCCAUAUAUCUUC